AGAUAGAGAGAGGGAGACAGAGAGAGAGAGAGAAAGAGAACGAGGGAGCGUGAGAGCUAGAGAGAUUUAAAAGUAAUCAGACAACUAAACCUGUAAUGAUUUUUUCCUGUAUGUUGCAGGUACGAUGUGGCAGCGUUGUCGGGGGAGACGUGUUACUGUGGUCAUUAUGGGAUGGAAGGGCUUGUGGCCAGGGAGUGUCCAGACAUCUCUACUAAAGGGGAGUCAGACACAGUUCCACAAAACAACUCUACAGGGUGGUGAGAUAUAUAUUUUAUGCUGUUUUGAUUGUGAGAGCCCUAGUGAGUAAGAUUUAUAUUACAUGAUGUCAAUUAAACUUGAAACUUGAAACUUGAAUAUACCCAGGAGAAGUUUAGAUUCAUUGUCUCCUAUUUUUACAUACAAAACUAUUGACUAGGCCGCUGGUUACUGUAUGUUAAUUCAAACAUCUCUGAUACCUACUGUAUGUAUACCCUAUCUGUCUGCAGGUGUUGUGACUCUGUCUGUCUGCCGUGUGGAGAUGGGAAGGACAUGUUGGCUGUAUACAGAACACUGGGGCCUUACAUCCGGAAUGUCAGCCUGGAAGUACUGACUGACACAGUGCAUUCUGGGAAGCCUUUCCUCUUGGAGGUUUCUGGAUACCUGGCGGCUCCUCCCACUCAGCCUACAGGGAUAUAUGGCCUGGAAGGAGAGAACCUAUCAUCUGUGGAUGUUCAAUUCAGUGGGAAGGCCCACAAAGGUCAAAGUUCACACAGCGUCAUCGUCCAGGACGAUGGCUUCUUCACCUUCUCCUCUGAUUGGAUGCUGGAAAACCCUGGAACAUACCAAAUUAGUAUGUCAAAAACAAAUAGAUGUUUUAUUUUUUAUUAAUGGGAAUAAGAAAUGUUACAUCUCACAAUCUCCCCUCUCCCUCUCUCUCUAGAGAUCUCAGUCUCCAACCUCCUCUCCCAGCUCUUCUCCUCCCUCUAUCUCUCCGUCUUGCGUCCCUCUCCAGAGGGGUUGGAGGUCAGCCUGGUCCAGGGGCAAGGGGGUACCCCCUCCUGCCUGCCCUACCCAGCCCAGGACACCCUAUCCCGGGCUCUGGAGAAGGUCUACCUGGGUGAUAGCCUCACCCUCCAGGCAUAUGUAGGAGCUGGAAUCAGGGUGCAGUUCCACUGGAGAUUCAUCAGUGAUAAUGAAAAGGAAGAGGAAGAGGAGGGGAAGAGGAGGGAUGUAAAGAUAGACUGCCUUCCUGAUUCUGAUUGUCUGAGCAGCACUGUGGUGAGAGAUUUACACCACAUCUGACUUGGGCUUUUCUAGGGGUCAAAACUUUUCGUUCACUGUUAUGAUAUCAUGACAAUUGGACUCUAUUCCGUAUUUUCAGAGCCAACUGUUUCAAACUGAGGGGAUUCACACUGUCAAGGUCAAUGCUUCCAAUAAAUAUGGCUGGACUGAGAAAACCAUCCAUAUUGUGAGUAGUCUGCCACUGUAAGCACUAACUUAUAAACAGUCUGUUAACAUUUUACAGGUGGAUUGAGUAACACAUUCAGUUUGAUAGCUCUACCUGAUUUCUUCAGACUCCACUUGUAAUAGGGGUGCUCUUUCUCUGUGUACAGGCGGUGGUGAGGCGUGUUGUGUGUAAUUUGACUCUGGAGAGUCGGUCUGGGUACCAUCUGGCUGCUGGUCAGAACAUUUCUGUGGACCUGCAGCUCUACA
rnacentral:lncRNA from 13 species